GGAGGGGGGCGCGCUGUGGAGUGCAACCGGUCUCGAAAACCGGGCCGACGCUUUGGUGUCGAUGGUUCGACUCCAUCACCCUCCG
rnacentral:tRNA from 1 species